rnacentral:rRNA from 1 species
CGUAGGGGGCAAGCGUUGUCCGGAAUUAUUGGGCGUAAAGGGCGCGUAGGCGGAUGGUUAAGUCCGGUGCGAAAGAUCAGGGCUCAACCCUGAGAGUGCAUCGGAAACUGGGCAUCUUGAGGACAGGAGAGGAAAGUGGAAUUCCACGUGUAGCGGUGAAAUGCGUAGAUAUGUGGAGGAACACCAGUGGCGAAGGCGACUUUCUGGACUGUAACUGACGCUGAGGCGCGAAAGCGUGGGGAGCAAACAGGAUUAGAUACCCUGGUAGUCCACGCUGUAAACGAUGAGUGCUAGGUGUAGAGGGUAUCGACCCCUUCUGUGCCGCAGUUAACACAAUAAGCACUCCGCCUGGGGAGUACGGCCGCAAGGUUG